UUCAUGAUAGCUCAGGCGGUAGAGCAUUCACCUGGCAAGUGAAUGAACAAAAAUUCAUGAAC
rnacentral:tRNA from 1 species